CAGUGUUCAGAGAUGGA
rnacentral:miRNA from 1 species